rnacentral:lncRNA from 1 species
GUUAGAUUUAUAAAAACCCUUUUGUUUAAAAAUAACUAUAAAUUCACAAGUUGCAGAGAUAACACAGAGAAGUCCUCUACACCCCUCACAGGUUUCCUCACAAUGGUUAUAUCUUAAGUGACUAUAAAUCAACAUCAAAAUAAGGACACUGAGAUCUGUACUCAGUGUGUACAACUCUAGGUCAUUUGGGGAUGUGUAGUUUACCCCUGCAGUCAAGAUACAAAACUGGAGACUUUGCUUUACAUAUUGUUCCCUUUUAAAGAGCACCCAAAGGCAAGCACAUUAAAUGAAGGAGGAAUCAUCAGCCUGCAUCCCUCAGUAAAGAAGACAUUAAUAUCAGGCCUCUGAAGAACCACAGUGGAAAU